rnacentral:rRNA from 1 species
UGGGGAAUAUUGCACAAUGGGCGCAAGCCUGAUGCAGCAACGCCGCGUGAGGGACGACGGCCUUCGGGUUGUAAACCUCUUUUGGCAGGGAAGAAGCGAAAGUGACGGUACCUGCAGAAAAAGCCCCGGCUAACUUCGUGCCAGCAGCCGCGGUAAGACGAAGGGGGCAAGCGUUGUUCGGAAUUACUGGGCGUAAAGGGCGCGUAGGCGGUUUGCUUAGUCAGGCGUGAAAGCCCUGGGCUUAACCUGGGAUGUGCGCUUGAUACUGGCAGGCUUGAGUGUGGGAGAGGUUGGUGGAAUUCCCAGUGUAGAGGUGAAAUUCGUAGAUAUUGGGAAGAACACCGGCGGCGAAGGCGGCCAACUGGACCACAACUGACGCUGAGGCGCGAAAGCGUGGGGAGCAAACA